UACGGAGGGUGCGAGCGUUAUCCGGAAUUACUGGGCGUAAAGCGUGCGCAGGCGGCUUUUUAAGCCAGACGUGAAAUCCCCGGGCUUAACCUGGGAAUGGCGUUUGGAACUGGAAGGCUAGAGUGUGUCAGAGGGGGGUAGAAUUCCACGUGUAGCAGUGAAAUGCGUAGAGAUGUGGAGGAAUACCGAUGGCGAAGGCAGCCCCCUGGGAUAACACUGACGCUCAUGUACGAAAGCGUGGGUAGCAAACAGG
rnacentral:rRNA from 1 species